UACGUAGGGGGGCUAGCGUUGUCCGGAAUCAUUGGGCGUAAAGCGCGUGUAGGCGGUCCGGUAAGUCCGCUGUGAAAGUCGGGGGGCUCAACCCUCGAAAGCCGGUGGAAACUGUUGGGCUAGAGUCCGGGAGAGGAGAGUGGAAUUCCUGGUGUAGCGGUGAAAUGCGCAGAUAUCAGGAAGAACACCCGUGGCGAAAGCGGCUCUCUGGAACGGUACUGACGCUGAGACGCGAAAGCGUGGGGAGCGAACAGG
rnacentral:rRNA from 1 species